rnacentral:rRNA from 1 species
AGAGUUUGAUCCUGGCUCAGAACGAACGCUGGCGGCAGGCUUAACACAUGCAAGUCGAACGGGCGCGAGCAAUCGCGUCAGUGGCAGACGGGUGAGUAACGCGUGGGAACAUACCCUCCGGUUCGGAAUAGCUCAGGGAAACUUGGAUUAAUACCGGAUACGGCAGUCAAGAGCGAUCUUGGAGGCGAAAGAUUGAUCGCCGGAGGAUUGGCCCGCGUUCGAUUAGCUUGUUGGUGAGGUAACGGCUCACCAAGGCGACGAUCGAUAGCUGGUCUGAGAGGAUGAUCAGCCACAUUGGGACUGAGACACGGCCCAAACUCCUACGGGAGGCAGCAGUGGGGAAUAUUGGACAAUGGGCGCAAGCCUGAUCCAGCCAUGCCGCGUGAGUGAUGACGGCCUUAGGGUUGUAAAGCUCUUUCGCUCGGGACGAUAAUGACGGUACCGAGAGAAGAAGCCCCGGCUAACUUCGUGCCAGCAGCCGCGGUAAUACGAAGGGGGCUAGCGUUGUUCGGAAUUACUGGGCAUAAAGCGCGUGUAGGCGGGUCUUUAAGUCAGGGGUGAAAUGCCAGGGCUCAACCUUGGAACUGCCUUUGAUACUGGAGAUCUUGAGUCCGGGAGAGGUGAGUGGAAUUGCGAGUGUAGAGGUGAAAUUCGUAGAUAUUCGCAAGAACACCAGUGGCGAAGGCGGCUCACUGGCCCGGAACUGACGCUGAGACGCGAAAGCGUGGGGAGCAAACAGGAUUAGAUACCCUUGUAGUCC